GUAGUGUUUUGCGGGGCGUUAAGUGAGUAACUGGUUACUGGUUCGGAUCCUCGGUCCUCCAGCCCUUGUCGGGCUAAACUGACUGGCACUUUUAGGCCAGUCGCGCGGCUUUACAGUGUCCCCAAGAGGACGAUGGUGAGGGAUUGCGCAUUUGGUGCAGGCGCGACCCUAGAGGGUUGUUGGGGCCGAACGGCGGACAAACCUCGGCUCGCGUUCCCUGCCUCUGAUGAAGCCUGUGUUGGUAGGGACAUCUGAGAAUGCUGAUGAAUGCCAACUGCUCUGAUGGCGGAACGCGAGGAGUGGACUGAGUGGGCCUUUGUGUAGGACGCGGCCCGAGCCACCGUCAGCCGCUCGUUCUCGGGAAGGCGGGUGGUGUGUUAGUCCACGUGAUUCCAAGUGGCUCCAUUUCGCAGUGCCGCCAUAGUUGCCAUCUGUGGUUAACUGGGUGCAGUGCUCUCCUUUGUAACAUUAAGUGCCUCCCUUACCUGUCGUGCAGUUACGGGUGGUAAAAGUCAAUUGCGUAAGUGGUAACAGAAACGUGAUAGCAACGUGGGAACAGUGAUUUUAAAAUCACCUCGUUUUUUCCUUAGGGAUGGUGGUAGGCUUGGAUGCAGUGUGGCUUUUGAUGACUUGUUACGGACAGUUACCUGCCAAACGAGUGAUGAGAGGAGCCGCGGAGGUCCUAAACAGCAAGCCUCACUGUAGCUGUGAACACACAGGCACUGAAAAGAAAGCUGGAGGCUGAAAUGAUGGAGUCUGACUUGUCUGGACCAGCUUUAUAUUUUGGGUAAGUGUUAAUGGAAAACAUUACAGUAGCUACAGGGCUUACAGUGCUGAGUGAUGGACUUACUGCUGAGCAAGUGGCUACUUGAGAUUUACAAGCUUAUAUUUGACUAAUGAAUGCUAACUUUGUGUUUUCUUUGUGCAUGCUCCGAAUGGGGUUUUUGUAAUGAUGUUGAUCAAAUGUCUGACCUGAAAUGAGCAUGUAGACAUAUUUAACACUGAAGAACCCUGUAACAAACUAUUCUGAACAGAGUUUAAUAAUAUAUAGCAUUUUAAAGAAGGUUCUCAUUUUUUUCUUGUAGCUACUGGUUACAUAUUUUUUUCCAUGGACAGCUUGCUUGGGUAAGAACAUAACGACAAUACCUGGCAUUUCUGAAAUGUGGUCUUACUAGUUAACUGUGUUAGGGAGUUCUCUUGUGAUAAAAAGCCAAUGGACAAAGUUUUGAAAAGUGAAUAGUAUUGAAUUACUAUAUUAAAACAGUUUAAUGAAAGUUUUAAAUACAUUUUUUAAAAAGUAAAUGUAUGAAUACUACUUUGUAAAUGGUCUUCAACUUAGGAAAUGGCAUCUAAAGGAAUACUUAUUUCAGGUGAAGAUUUUGGAGACUUUUAAGAGGCAAGGUCUCCCUGUUUCGCAGGCUGAGUGAUCUGCCUCAUCCUGAGUAGCUGGGACUACAGGCACGCAUCCACCGAGCCCAGCUAGAACCUUCAAGGUGUGAAGAGUCAGCUUGACAACAGUGCAUGGAGCAAGUUUUCAGAAAAGGCAGACCUUCUAAAAACUUCUAGGGAUUUCAUAUGACCACAGCGAGCAUGCAACUUACCCUUUAAAAGGUACUUUCGUGGAUGCUGACGGAAAGAGUAAACAACAUCUUUCAAUCUUAAUAAGUUCUGCAAACUAUCUGGAGGACUGGUUAUUCCAAAUGGGAUGAAAGAACGAAAGUUAACCCAAUAAAAUGAAGGGAUGUUUUAGUUGUUCCCUUGCCUGUUAAUUUUAA